AGGUCAAGUACCUGGGCGUUACCCUGGAUGC
rnacentral:sRNA from 1 species